UACGUAGGGUGCGAGCGUUGUCCGGAAUUAUUGGGCGUAAAGGGCUCGUAGGCGGUCUGUCACGUCGGGAGUGAAAACACGGGGCUUAACCCCGUGCCUGCUUCCGAUACGGGCAGACUAGAGGUAUGCAGGGGAGAACGGAAUUCCUGGUGUAGCGGUGAAAUGCGCAGAUAUCAGGAGGAACACCGGUGGCGAAGGCGGUUCUCUGGGCCUUACCUGACGCUGAGGAGCGAAAGCGUGGGGAGCGAACAGG
rnacentral:rRNA from 1 species